rnacentral:rRNA from 1 species
AUUGAACGCUGGCGGCAUGCUUUACACAUGCAAGUCGAACGGCAGCGGGGAGGAGCUUGCUUCUCUGCCGGCGAGUGGCGAACGGGUGAGUAAUACAUCGGAACGUGUCGAGAAGAGGGGGAUAACCACCCGAAAGGGUGGCUAAUACCGCAUAAAUUCUGAGGAAGAAAGCUGGGGACCUAGGAAUAGGCCUAGCGCUUUUUGAGCGGCCGAUGUCGGAUUAGCUAGUUGGUGAGGUAAAGGCUCAACAAGGCGAAGAUCUGUAGCGGGUCUGAGAGGAUGAUCCGCCACACUGGGACGGAGACACGGCCCAGACUCCUACGGGAGGCAGCAGUGGGGAAUUUUGGACAAUGGGGGCAACCAUGAUCCAGCCAUGCCGCGUGUAUGAAGAAGGCCUUAGGGUUGUAAAGUACUUUUGUUAGGGAAGAAAAGUCAGCUGUGAAUAAUGGCUGAUACUGACGGUACCUAAAGAAUAAGCACCGGCUAACUACGUG